CCCGUACAACCCAUGAGUUACACUCGGACAGUCCAUGGGUUAGACCCCUACAGUCCAGAUUAGACCCGUACAGCCCAUGGAUUAGACCCCUACAGUCCAUGAGUUACACCCCUACAGUCUAGAUUAGACCCCUACAGUCCAUGGGUUACACCCCUACAGUCUAGAUUAGACCCCUACAGUCCAUGAGUUACACCCCUACAGUCUAGAUUAGACCCCUACAGUCCAUGGGUUAGACCCCUACAGUCCAUGGGUUAGACCCCUACAGUCCAUGGGUUAGACCCCUACAGUCCAUGAGUUACACCCCUACAGUCCAUGGGUUAGACCCCUACAGUCCAUGAGUUACACCCCUACAGUCUAGAUUAGACCCGUACAGUCCAUGGGUUAGACCCCUACAGUCUAGAUUAGACCCCUACAGUCCAUGAGUUACACCCCUACAGUCUAGAUUAGACCCCUACAGUCCAUGGGUUACACCCCUACAGUCUAGAUUAGACCCCUACAGUCUAGAUUAGACCCCUACAGUCCAUGGGUUACACCUCUACAAUCCAUGAGUUAGACCCCUACAGUCCAUGGGUUAGACCCCUACAGUCCAUGGGUUACACCCCUACAGUCCAUGGGUUAGACCCCUACAGUCCAGAUUAGACCCGUACAGUCCAUGGGUUACACCCCUACAGUCUAGAUUAGACCCCUACAGUCCAUGGGUUACACCCCUACAGUCUAGAUUAGACCCCUACAGUCCAUGAGUUACACCCCUACAGUCUAGAUUAGACCCCUACAGUCCAUGGGUUACACCCCUACAGUCUAGAUUAGACCCCUACAGUCCAUGGGUUACACCUCUACAAUCCAUGAGUUAGACCCCUACAGUCCAUGGGUUAGACCCCUACAGUCCAGAUUAGACCCGUACAGUCCAUGAGUUACACUCGGACAGUCCAUGGGUUAGACCCCUACAGUCCAGAUUAGACCCCUACAGUCCAUGGGUUAGACCCCUACAGUCCAGAUUAGACCCCUACAGUCCAUGGGUUAGACCCCUACAGUCCAGAUUAGACCCCUACAGUCCAUGGGUUACACCCCUACAGUCCAGAUUAGACCCCUACAGUCCAUGGGUUAGACCCCUACAGUCCAGAUUAGACCCGUACAGUCCAUGGGUUAGACCCCUACAGUCCAUGGGUUAGACCCCUACAGCCCAGAUUAGACCCCUACAGUCCAUGGGUUAGACCCCUACAGUCCAGAUUAGACCCGUACAGUCCAUGGGUUAGACCCCUACAGUCCAUGGGUUAGACCCCUACAGCCCAGGUUAGACCCCUACAGUCCAUGGGUUAGACCCCUACAGCCCAUGGGUUAGACCCCUACAGUCCAGAUUAGACCCGUACAGUCCAUGGGUUAGACCCCUACAGUCCAGAUUAGACCCGUACAGUCCAUGGGUUAGACCCCUACAGUCCAUGGGUUAGACCCCUACAGCCCAGGUUAGACCCCUACAACCCAUGGGUUAGACCCCUACAGUCCAUGAGUUACACUCGGACAGCCCAUGGGUUAGACCCCUACAGUCCAUGAGUUACACUCGGACAGUCCAUGGGUUAGACCCCUACAGUCCAUGAGUUACACCCCUACAGUCCAUGAGUUACACUCGGACAGCCCAUGGGUUAGACCCAUACAGCCCAUGGGUUAGACCCCUACAGUCCAUGAGUUACACUCGGACAGCCCAUGGGUUAGACCCCUACAGUCCAUGGGUUAGACCCCUACAGCCCAGAUUAGACCCCUACAGUCCAUGGGUUAGACCCCUACAGUCCAGAUUAGACCCGGACAGUCCAUGGGUUAGACCCCUACAGUCCAUGGGUUAGACCCCUACAGCCCAGGUUAGACCCCUACAGUCCAUGGGUUAGACCCCUACAGCCCAUGGGUUAGACCCCUACAGACCAGGUUAGACCCCUACAACCCAGGUUAGACCUCUACAGUCCAUGAGUUACACUCGGACAGCCCAUGGGUUAGACCCAUACAGCCCAUGGGUUAGACCCAUACAGCCCAUGGGUUA